AAACUAAUUCAUCCUUAUCCACAACUCCCUCUCUUUGUUUCACGCCUACCUUCCCUUGUGUGCGCCUCCUUGAGUGCCACCUCAGCCCCUCUAGCGUAUUCCCCACGCCACAACUCCCUCUCACGUACUCCCUUGUGUCCUAAUUCCAAUAGGACUUCAAUUAACCCAAGCCGGCCAUCCUAGUAGGUGCAUCCCAAUUUCAGCCGCCCAUCAAUCUUGGUGCCUAAUUUUGGUUCAUUGGUUGAACCUCCUUGAACCCAAUCUCACCAUCCAGCAA
rnacentral:lncRNA from 1 species